rnacentral:rRNA from 1 species
CAGCAGCCGCGGGAAUACGAAGGGUGCAAGCGUUAAUCGGAAUUACUGGGCGUAAAGCGCGCGUAGGUGGUUUGGUAAGAUGGAUGUGAAAUCCCCGGGCUCAACCUGGGAACUGCAUCCAUAACUGCCUGACUAGAGUACGGUAGAGGGUGGUGGAAUUUCCUGUGUAGCGGUGAAAUGCGUAGAUAUAGGAAGGAACACCAGUGGCGAAGGCGACCACCUGGGCUCAUACUGACACUGAGGUGCGAAAGCGUGGGGAGCAAACAGGAUUAGAUACCCCUGUAGUCCCUGUCUCUUAUAC